CAUAUGGAGGGUUUGAUCCUGGCUCAGGACGAACGCUGGCGGCGUGCCUAACACAUGCAAGUCGAGGGAGAAAACCUCCUUCGGGAGGUGAGUAAACCGGCGGACGGGUGCGUAACACGUGAGCAACUUUCCCAGCAGAGGGGGAUAACCCGGGGAAACCCGGGCUAAUACCGCAUAACGUGGCUUUCGCGCAUGCGGAAGCCACCGAAGGGGGGCGAUCCUUCGGGAGCUCUCGCUGUUGGAUAGGCUCGCGGCCUAUCAGCUUGUUGGUGGGGUAACGGCCCACCAAGGCGAUGACGGGUAGCUGGUCUCAGCGGAUGAUCAGCCACACGGGGACUGAGACACGGCCCCGACUCCUACGGGAGGCAGCAGUGGGGAAUUUUGGACAAUGGGCGAAAGCCUGAUCCAGCGACGCCGCGUGCGGGAGGAAGCC
rnacentral:rRNA from 1 species